rnacentral:lncRNA from 1 species
AUGUCAUUAUUUUCUUCGGUUAAGUGCCUGAAGGUGAAGCUGAGUGAAUUCAUUGCAUUAAGAAAGUUUUUCCGUGGUGUUUCUCAACUGAUGGAAAAGAAGGUUGGGACAGGAGUAGCUUCUGGCACUGGAAGACUCUGCGCAUCUGUCUCCAUCUUUCAUCCAGUAGAGGUUCUAACCAACAGAGGUUACCUUUCUUGUGUUUCUCCUCUGGCCCCUAAGGAGGCUCUUUCCUUCCUUCCAAAGCAGUCUUCCAACAAACCAGUGUCUUUUUAUCUUUGUAUCCAUUCUGGCAAAUAAGCUCCUCACCAGUACCUGGUGUUUGGAGCCAGUCUCUAUGCCAUUGUUAGGUGCAUGGCUCUCAGAAGAUGCACCCAAAAACCACUCUUACCUUUCCUGCCCUUCUGUGCUCCUUCUGGUAUGGUCUGCAAAGGCUCAGACAAAUUCCAGGAGCUGGGAAUCCCCAAGGGAGGUUGUGUCUUAGCUCACAAUGCAUUGAUGGAAAAUAUCAAAUGACAAGUAAGCGUUGCUAUGUUUAUACUGCAGCAACAGUAAACUUGCCAGAUAGCAUGAAGGCAAAGUUUCUUCCAAAAAGGGCAUAUAAAAUAGGUAUUUUAUUUUAAUUAGAGUAAUUAUUCAUGGGACUCCAGAUGCUGUUAAAAAAGAAAGAAAAAAUAAACCUCUGCCUGACAAUGAAUAGCAGCAUAAAUUGCCUGUGUCAGAAGCGCAGGGUGGAUGCACUGAUCAAUAUAUCUCUCUAGUUUUAUCAAGUAAUGGUAAUAGCUAUUGCUGUCAAUACUCCCAUGGAAAUAACGCAAUAAAAGAUUAUUGUCUUUCUAUGACUUUAAAAAAAAAACACCAUUCAUUAGAAUUAUAUCCUUCUGAAAGUUGUCUGAAAAAACCCGCUAUGAAAAGGACUCCCUGCUGUACUAAAUUCUAUAGGCUUUAGAGGAAAUUCCAUAGAGCUGUAUUACAUUUCUAUAGAUUUAAUUCCUGCUCAUUUCUAUGGGAUCUUUUUUUUUUCUGGGAGGACAUAUGUGAGAGGUAUAAUGUUCUAUUUGUAAACGCAUUAGUAUUCAGCAGUUCUCUUUCUGUUCUUGUUUGUGAGCUACCUACAAGUUUUCCACUAGCACACAUGGGCUCUUGUGCUUUGAGCAGAAGCUCGGUGACCACGGACUUGGCUGCCUUCUGCAGGAAUUAGGAGUCAGCAGAGCACAGUGGCUCUCUGGACUGUUUGUUGAGAACCAAUGCUUGCUUUCUUUGCUCUACACCGAUCAUGCAUACGGAACACAGCCACCACUCACUGUGGUUGAGGAUAGCUGCCUCCAUAUUUUACACUUCGAACACAUUACUGUAAUCAACACCACCGUCAUUUAUUAAUUUACACAGAUUCACAUCUGCUUUUCCAUAGUAAACACUGGGCUAGAAUUAUUCCCUCAAGCAUGAAAACAGGAGCAGCUUUAAACCAUAAGCAAUAUCACUGCCAUGGUUUGAUCAGCGUUGGAUUCAUUAAAAUAUGAGAAUCAAUGGAACUUGAUUUUUCAAAGACUAACAUUUAGCCCACGUUUGGGUUUUGGAAACAGAAGAGCUGCUAUAAUACUGCCUGCAGUUAGAUUUGCUUGACUGGCAGUGACUGUUUGUUGUUGUCUCCUUCUCUGUGAGCAACCAGACAACUCAGAUACGAAAGUGCUAUUGCUGGCUCUGAGAAAACCCACCCGUGAGUUCUAUACAUGUAGGGGAAGGAGCAGAGGCUUUAAAUUAUCCUGAUGCAGAACAAUUCUCGAGGCGGGACAGACUUUGUUAUGCUGUAGGAACUUUGCAAGUCCCCAUGAAUCAGAGCAUUUGAAAUCUUAUGGAACAGGUUCAAAACUGUCAACAAGGUCUAUUCAAUAUUGAAUAUGCUUGCACAUUCAAUAGCGGAGAGGAAAAUCCAAUGUUUGCCAAAAGAAUGUGAAAAAGACUGAUAAAACAAGUAGAAAUCAGUUCUUUCAACUCCAAGAGUUUUUGUUCCUUUUUUUUUUUAAUUUUUAAAAAGUAAAAAGAAAUAAACACAAAAGCUGCAGUUGACAGUGCCUCUGUGACAGCACUUUUGUAACCAUUUAAGCAAAACAAUGCAAAGCAGCUUGCUGGAGGAUGCUGGCAGAACAUACUGUAGCCUUCAAACUUUGCACAGACUGCUGAGAAAUGAAAUGUUUGACUGCGAAGCUGAUGUGGGUUUGGCAACAUUGCUAAAUUGAUAGUGCAAAAAAAGGAUUCUGCUUCAACCAUCUGCAGCAGUAACCGGGAUCAGCCCUUUGUCUAAUAGCAUCUGCAGCCUUUGGUCCACCUCUGUCUCACCAAGCAGAUAAACUGCAGGGAAGGGAUCCAGCUCAUAUACCUGGAAGGAUCAAAGAGUUUGAGCUUCCCUUCAGGUUUAAUUACAAAUAUGAAGCUCCUCUUUGGUCUUGCCUUGUUCCGGUUGGGAGAAACGCUGCUUGGUGGUUGGAUUUGGGUUGGGGGCUGCUGUAAUGGGGCUGCAACGGGUCGGGUUUUUGUUUACCCCACUAAGGAAGAGAUGGGAGAGGCUUUAAGAUAGUGCUUCCAGGGCUGCUUGUGCAUUUGGUCACAAAGCUGGGAUUUCCUGCUAUUUAUGAAUUGAAAAUGAGACUGAUGUGCACAUGUGGGUUUUGACAAUGUACUCAGCUCUCCUGCUCAGACUCGGAGUUUCUUCCUGUCUCUGUACAAAUGCUUGAGCUCUGCGGUGUGCCAGAGCCCCUUUAUCCCUGCAUCCUGUCUUUGGCAAUGGCCAAUGCAGGGAAAAUGCAAGAAAUGCCUGCAUGGCACCCGAUGGAUGAACCAGGCCAAUUCAGAGCAUUUCUUCCCAUCACUCCUACAUUGUGAGUGAGAUUAAACCCUAUAGUAGAAAGCUGUAAAUCAACAAAACAAACGAAAAAACAACCAACAUUUAUUUUCAGGUAACCAAAGAGUGAUCUCUUGUGGAGUUUUCCUUCCUUACCUUAGCUCCUUUAUCAUUUUCGAUAUGAGAAGUAUGAGAAAGGGUAGAUCUAGUGCUGAUGUUGGACAGAUUAAGCAGAGAGGCAGUUUCCCAGCCCAAAGACUUGAGCAUCUGUGUUACGAGGUUUAGGCACUGAGAGCAUUUUGUUGACAAAGUUGGAUAUAAAAAAUUUUGCGGGAAGCCUCUGGUAAGCAUAAAAGUUUUGUCACACCACCGUUUCAGUUCUGUAAUCUGUAUUUGUAUUUUGUAUUCUGCAAUCUGUAAUUCUGUAAAAUAGGAGAGAAACCGGAGGACGAUUCCCACUAUUCUCUAAAUAUCAUCUGUGAAAAUAAUUUCAUGUGAUGAGCGGCUGCGGCUGAGGAGACGUUGCAUUGCACAUUGCCAUUAUCAGCUUAAUCCUCCUCUGUGUCCAUCCAUUUGAAUUCCAUUCCCAGUCUGCCUUCAGGCACGUUACACACAAUUAAUAAAUCAUCUUCAGCAAUUCCAUUUUUUCCAUAUAACUAAUUUUGGCUGAAUGAUGUUCAAACAGGGGGGCAGCGCUAUUGCACUAACCGAAUCUAUCUGUAGUAUGCUGGAUAUACAAAGCCUUCAUUUCUAACUUGGACAAAGCUGCAAUCCAGAUAAACCUGCGCCUGCAAGAAGAGAGCCAUGCCUUGAUCUAGCAGACCGGUUCUCACUCGAGUAAUGAAUGCGUCUGCAGUGCAGGUGGGGACCGCAAGGCCAGUUCUCCAGCACCGGCAGCCUGAAGGCAGCGUCACGUCGUAAAUCUCUUCCAGCUCACCCCUUUGUCUGCUGGCUGCUCCUGGAGCUGGGUGUGGGUGGGAGGCAGUGGGUGUGCAGCUCCCUGCCCUCACAGCCCUACCAGGGGCUCAGUGGGAAGGUGGGGUUCUGCCAGAGCUCUGCACCACAAAGCUGUGUAGGAGCAGCUCAGCAGCAGUGAUGAGGUGACAUGAUUUUCUGCAUAGCUCCUCAAGGUUGAGUCCUUAAUGCUAACAAAUACCCCUUCAUUUUUACCCAUAUUACCUAGAAUUCAGGCUGUGUGUCUAUAUAAACAGCUCUGUGAGUCCAAGCUGCAGUCAUAACUUGCAACAAAUUAUACCUUUAGAAAUCCAGGGAUGCUGUUUGCUGAAUUUACCUUUUUUAAGCCCUAAGUAAGGAAAUACAUUUUCUUGAAAUGGUCUGACCCCGAGGGAGGCAUAUAAAUGCACUGGCCUCAAAGGAGGUGACCCCAACUCUUGUGACUUG